GACGAACGCUGGCGGCGUGCCUAAUACAUGCAAGUAGAACGCUGAAGGAGGAGCUUGCUUCUCCGGAUGAGUUGCGAACGGGUGAGUAACGCGUAGGUAACCUGCCUGGUAGCGGGGGAUAACUAUUGGAAACGAUAGCUAAUACCGCAUAAGAGUAGAUGUUGCAUGACAUUUGCUUAAAAGGUGCAAUUGCAUCACUACCAGAUGGACCUGCGUUGUAUUAGCUAGUUGGUGGGGUAACGGCUUACCAAGGCGACGAUACAUAGCCGACCUGAGAGGGUGAUCGGCCACACUGGGACUGAGACACGGCCCAGACUCCUACGGGAGGCAGCAGUAGGGAAUCUUCGGCAAUGGACGGAAGUCUGACCGAGCAACGCCGCGUGAGUGAAGAAGGUUUUCGGAUCGUAAAGCUCUGUUGUAAGAGAAGAACGAGUGUGAGAGUGGAAAGUUCACACUGUGACGGUAUCUUAUCAGAAAGGGACGGCUAACUACGUG
rnacentral:rRNA from 1 species